AAAAUCAGCAGAGUUUGUAGGUUCAUCCUCCGCCAAAAUAUGAGUGGCUUUUCACCGGCGAAGUUUUUCAACCGCCUGGAAGAAGCCAUUUGAGGUUUUUGCUGGGCUGAAUGUACAUUUUUUGGACACUAAAAAAGCACAAGGGUCAACAUGAUAGCCACAUAUGGAAGGGGCGUGGAGAAGAAAGGAUAGGGGAAAAAGAAGAAAGGUUGUUUUUACCAUCAGCCCCGUGUUGAAGUCAACAGGAAAUGGCCCAGUGUGGAUCAACCACCAUACUGUCCCGAGUAAAAGGGAAUGAUGAUCUCUUCUGAGUGACUUAAGAGUUAAUCAGGACCAGGUCGAGAGUUUAUCACCCAGAGUUCCAUGUUUGAAUUUUGGAGAAUUCCCUUUGUUUCAUUUCAGCACAUUCACUUCAGUGCCCGUGUCUAUUUUAAUAGCCUGGAAUGCAAUUCCCUUUGCCCAUUAUUCUCUUUCACUAUGGGUUUUUCCGACCCUCGGGGUAGAUUUAUGCUUCUAGUUGAAUGAUUACUCAGUGAAUGUUUGCCAAGGGAUGUUCUGUUCCAAGAAUGACACAUCUCUUUGGGGAUGACUCUUUACCUAACCAGGGUGGGUGGGAGGUCAGGGGAAGCCCCUACCCAGAAGAAAAUAGUUUCUUUGUGUGCUUGAAGAAAAACACUCAGAUGAUGAACAGCCUGAUUUGGGGGCUGUGUGUGGGUGAGCCACUCCAGUGAAGUCGUCCUCAACGCUCCCUCAGAAGGAGAUUAUGAAUUUAAUGAGCAGAAGAAUUCUGACAAGCCUUAAAGCCAAAGGCAAUUAGCAAAGGAUGAAUAACUUGAAUUCUUUGCAGUUAUGAAAUAAUUUCAUCCUAAUGAAAUUACACAUGCAUAUAUCUUUAAAAU
rnacentral:lncRNA from 1 species